rnacentral:rRNA from 1 species
AACGAACGCUGGCGGCAUGCCUAACACAUGCAAGUCGAACGAGACCUUCGGGUCUAGUGGCGCACGGGUGCGUAACGCGUGGGAACCUGCCCUUAGGUUCGGAAUAACUCCCCGAAAGGGGUGCUAAUACCGGAUAAUGUCUUCGGACCAAAGAUUUAUCGCCUUUGGAUGGGCCCGCGUUGGAUUAGCUAGUUGGUAGGGUAAAAGCCUACCAAGGCGACGAUCCAUAGCUGGUCUGAGAGGAUGAUCAGCCACACUGGGACUGAGACACGGCCCAGACUCCUACGGAAGGCAGCAGUGGGGAAUAUUGGACAAUGGGCGAAAGCCUGAUCCAGCAAUGCCGCGUGAGUGAUGAAGGCCUUAGGGUUGUAAAGCUCUUUUACCCGGGAUGAUAAUGACAGUACCGGGAGAAUAAGCUCCGGCGAACUCCG